AAAAUCGCAACAAGGUCUCCGUAGGUGAACGGGGGGAGGGAUCAUUAAUGAAUGGCUUUUGCCUUCAACCCUGUAAACCUGUGGAAGCAAGAUGUGCUUUGGUGCUCCGGCACCUCGUUUAUGCGGUAAAGUAUUUGUCUGAAUCAAAAAGCAAGAAUUAAAACUUUCAACAAAGGAUCUCUUGGCUCUCGCAUCGAUGAAGAACGCAGCGAAGCGCGAAAUGUAGUGUGAAUCGCAGAACAUUGUGAAUCAUCGAAUCUUUGAACGCACAUUGCGCCUCCCGUUACUGGGAGGCAUGCCUGUCUGAGCGUCAUUUAAAACAUAGCACCCCAUCAAGGGUCUGUCUUGGGCCUCGCCUGUGGGCGUAGCCUCAAAGUCAUUGGUCUAAGGAGCGGGCAAGAUCCAUUGGGACUGACCGUUCUGCGACCUUAAAUCUCAGACUUGACCUCAGAUCAGGUAGGGCU
rnacentral:rRNA from 1 species